GCUUCCGUGGCGCAAUUGGUUAGCGCGUCCGGCUGUUAACUGAAAGGUCGGUGGUUUAAGCCCACCCGGGGGUG
rnacentral:tRNA from 1 species